AACGCACAUUGCGCCCCUUGGUAUUCCAUGGGGCAUGCCUGUUCGAGCGUCAUUUGUACCCUCAAGCUUUGCUUGGUGUUGGGCGUCUUGUCCGCUGUAUAGCUGGACUCGCCUCAAAUCAAUUGGCAGCCGGUAGUCUGGUAGUAGAACGCAGCACAAUUGCGAUCUGUCCCCUGACGACUAGCAUCCAUAAGUCUACAAUCUCACGUUUGACCUCGGAUCAGGUAGGGAUACCCGCUGAACUUAA
rnacentral:misc_RNA from 1 species